CUCCCCCUGUCUUUUUUCCUUCUCAGGAGACUUGCAACCUGGGGAGCAAUGAGUGGUGGCAGCUCCUCCCAGACUAACCCCCUGACCCUGACCCCAAGAGCCAUUCUCUCUGACUCUCCAUUGAGCUGAGAGAAGUCCUACCUACAUUCUCUCCUGUUAUUUCUUCUAUCCUAGGCCCUUUCUUGUUUCACUGUCCCCAGCUUUAAUAAAUGUACUCUCAAAAAAAGAAACUAAGGGAAAAUAAA